GCUGUAAUUAUGAAGGGGAACGAAUACAGAUAGGCUUCAUCGAAUGGACGAAUGGUAGCUUAUGAAAGUUGGGUAUUAUGACUAGCUCGUUUACACAGAGGUGGGUUCGGUUGAGCCAGACUUGACUGUGCCUCUUCGGUGCAUGAGAUUACGUGCGGAAAAUGAGAAGGAGUGGUGCCUGGGCCUGGGUGUAGGAGAUGGAGUACGGAAAGAAGCGUAGCGACCAAAUACGAUGAUUACUUGGCUGAUAAUUCGCCGAUCGAGGACCACCGCCAGACCAGCACUGGGUAGUUGCUAAGCCGGCACUUGGCGGGUUGGGAAGCGGAGAUCAGCAGUGACGGGCGGUGGGUGGUGCUCCAACCGCGUAAACAGCUGGCAAUGGUGCGUGUCGGUAACUGUAACGCGAUAAGCUGCCAACUAUGGACACAAGAGCCCGUUUCUGCAGCAUCGCACCCAUAAUCCGCUUAAGCCAUAAUCCGUUUAUUAACGAGACCUAUCAGCAGUCAAAUUGUGAAAAUCUCGAGCUGCCAAACUGCGCAGCACGAAUUAUUAAUCACCAGAAUCUAUUAUUUUUUUAUAGCUCACCGAAAAAUAAGAGUCCAAUUUAAAAAGCACCAACAAAAAAAGCAAAUUUAAAA